rnacentral:rRNA from 1 species
GGGAGGAAAAGAAACUAACAAGGAUUUUCUUAGUAGCGGCGAGCGAAAAGAAAAUAGUUCAGCACUAAGUCACUUUGUCUAUAUGGCGAAUGUGAGAUGCAGUGUAUGGAAUGUCAAUUUUCUUGUAUGAGAAAUUAACGAUUUAAGUCCUUCUUAAAUGAGGCCAUUUACCCAUAGAGGGUGCCAGGCCCGUAUAACGUUAAUGAUUACUAGAUGACAAUUUCCAAAGAGUCGUGUUGCUUGAUAGUGCAGCACUAAGUGGGUGGUAAACUCCAUCUAAUACUAAAUAUAACCAUGAGACCGAUAGUAAACAAGUACCGUGAGGGGAAGUUGAAAAGAACUCUGAAUAGAGAGUUAAAUAGUACGUGAAACUGCUUAGAGGUUAAGCCCGAUGAACCUGAAUAUCCAUUAUGGAAAAUUCAUCAUUAUGAUUUUAGUAUUAAUAUAAUAUUAUAAUAAUGGUGUGCAUUUUUUCCAUAAAGGACAUUGUAAUCUAUUAACAUUAUAAAUUUAUCAUAAGAUCGUUUGCCAAAGUUUAUUUAAAUUAUUUUGCUAUGCAAUUUAAAAUAGAAUAAAUGCACUCGAUUUGAUAAAGUGUUGAUAGAUUUUAUUAUAUUAUAGUGCUUAAAUAUAUAUAUAUAUUUUAUAAUAGCGUAGAGAUCUUUGAUUUUUAUGUUUAUUUAUAUGCACUUAUAUGAUUAACAAUGCGAAAGAUUCAGGAUACCUUCGGGACCCGUCUUGAAACACGGACCAAGGAGUCUAACAUAUUUGCAAGUUAUUGGGAAUAAAAACCUAAUAGCGAAAUUAACAUAACUUAAUUUAAAUGGGAUUAGUUUUUAAUACUAUUGUAUUAUUAAUUCAAUCCCGGGGCGUUCUAAAUAGUUAUGUAUAAUAAUAUUUAUAUUAUUUAUACCUCUAACUAGAGCGUACCUUGAGCAUAUAUGCUGUGACCCGAAAGAUGGUGAACUAUACUUGAUCAGGUUGAAGUCAGGGGAAACCCUGAUGGAAGACCGAAACAG